GAGUAAUGCCUAGGAAUCUGCCUGGUAGUGGGGGAUAACGCUCGGAAACGGACGCUAAUACCGCAUACGUCCUACGGGAGAAAGCAGGGGACCUUCGGGCCUUGCGCUAUCAGAUGAGCCUAGGUCGGAUUAGCUAGUUGGUGAGGUAAUGGCUCACCAAGGCGACGAUCCGUAACUGGUCUGAGAGGAUGAUCAGUCACACUGGAACUGAGACACGGUCCAGACUCCUACGGGAGGCAGCAGUGGGGAAUAUUGGACAAUGGGCGAAAGCCUGAUCCAGCCAUGCCGCGUGUGUGAAGAAGGUCUUCGGAUUGUAAAGCACUUUAAGUUGGGAGGAAGGGUUGUAGAUUAAUACUCUGCAAUUUUGACGUUACCGACAGAAUAAGCACCGGCUAACUCUGUGCCAGCAGCCGCGGUAAUACAGAGGGUGCAAGCGUUAAUCGGAAUUACUGGGCGUAAAGCGCGCGU
rnacentral:rRNA from 1 species